rnacentral:rRNA from 1 species
UACAGAGGGUGCAAGCGUUAAUCGGAUUUACUGGGCGUAAAGCGUGCGUAGGCGGUUCAUUAAGUCGGUUGUGAAAUCCCUGGGCUUAACCUGGGAACUGCAGUCGAUACUGGUGGACUAGAGUGCGGUAGAGGGUGGCGGAACUCCGGGUGUAGCGGUGAAAUGCGCAGAUAUCAGGAGGAACACCGGUGGCGAAGGCGGGUCUCUGGGCCGAUACUGACGCUGAGGAGCGAAAGCGUGGGGAGGCAAACAGG